AUGGGACCCUCCAAAGCCUGCAUGUCCGCUUACCUGAUCGCAGUCCUCUGCCUGGUCGCCGGUGCGCGCAACGCCGCGGCGUUCAACUACGCGGACGCCCUCGACAAGGCGGUCCUCUUCUUCGAGGCGCAGCGCUCCGGGAAGCUGCCGCCGGGCCAACGCGUGGCGUGGCGCGCCGACUCCGCCCUCUCCGACGGCAACGCCUCCAAUGUGGACCUUGUCGGAGGCUACUACGACGCCGGGGACAACGUCAAGUUCGGCCUGCCCAUGGCGUUCAUGGUGACCAUGCUGUCGUGGAGCGUGGUCGAGUUCGGCGGCGCGAUGCCGGGCGGCCAGCUCGCCAACGCCGAGGCCGCGGUGCGUUGGGGCUCCGACUACCUGCUCAAGGCAGCGACGGCCACGCCGGGUGCGCUGUACGUGCAGGUGGCGGACCCGUACCAGGACCACCGGUGCUGGGAGCGGCCGGAGGACAUGGACACUCCGCGCGCCGUGUACAAGGUGACGCCCCAGAGCCCCGGGUCGGACGUGGCCGGCGAGACCGCGGCGGCGCUGGCCGCGGCCUCCCUCGUGUUCCGGGCCCGCGAGCCGGCCUACUCGUCCAGGCUGCUCCGCGCCGCUCGCCAGGUAUUCGAUUUCGCGGACCGGUACAGGGGCUCCUACAGCGACUCGCUCAGCUCCGUGGUGUGUCCCUUCUACUGCUCCUACUCCGGCUACCAGGACGAGCUCCUUUGGGCGGCGACGUGGCUGCACCUGGCGUCGUCGCCGUCGCCGAGCUCGCAGGGCGUGUACAUGUCGUACAUCAACUCCAACGGGCACACUCUCGGCGCGGAGCAAGACAGCUACACCGUCAGCUGGGACGACAAGCGCGCCGCCACCAAAGUCCUCCUCUCCAAGGUGUUGCUGCAGAACCGGGUGGAGGGCCUGCGCGGGUACAAGGCGCACGCCGACAAGUACAUCUGCUCCCUCGUCCCCGGCGCCGGCGGCUUCCAGUCCCAGUACACGCCAGGAGGCCUCCUGUUCAAGGAAGGCGACAGCAACAUGGAGUACGUCACCUCCACGGCCUUCCUGCUCCUCACCUACGCCAAGUACCUCGGCUCCACCGGCGGCGCCGCCUCCUGCGGCGCCACCGCCGUCACCCCCUCCACCCUCGUCUCGCUCGCCAAGAAGCAGGUGGACUACAUCCUGGGCGCGAACCCGGCGGGGAUGUCGUACAUGGUGGGGUUCGGGGCGCGGUACCCGAGGCGCGUGCACCACCGGGGCGCCUCCAUGCCGUCGGUGCGCGACCACCCGGCCCGCAUCGGCUGCGACGAGGGGUUCCACUACCUGCACUCCUCCGACCCGGACCGCAACGUGCUCGUCGGCGCCGUCGUCGGCGGCCCCGACCAGAGCGACAGCUACUCCGACAGCCGCGACAACUACGCGCAGGCCGAGCCGUCCACCUACACAAACGCGCCACUCGUCGGCGCCCUUGCCUUCUUCUCGGGGGCACGCUCAGCAUAA
rnacentral:rRNA from 1 species